rnacentral:rRNA from 1 species
AGCAGACUACUGGGUUGAUAGGCCGGAUGUGGAAGCGGGGACUAACGACCCGUGGAGCUGACCGGUACUAAUAAGCCGAAGACUUGACAACA